rnacentral:rRNA from 1 species
UUAAGCAUAUCAAUAAGCGGAGGAAAAGAAACCAACAGGGAUUGCCCUAGUAACGGCGAGUGAAGCGGCAACAGCUCAAAUUUGAAAUCUGGCUCUUUUAGAGUCCGAGUUGUAAUUUGCAGAGGGAGCUUUGGCUUUGGCAGCGGUCCAAGUUCCUUGGAACAGGACGUCACAGAGGGUGAGAAUCCCGUACGUGGUCGCUGGCUAUUGCCGUGUAAAGCCCCUUCGACGAGUCGAGUUGUUUGGGAAUGCAGCUCUAAAUGGGAGGUACAUUUCUUCUAAAGCUAAAUAUUGGCCAGAGACCGAUAGCGCACAAGUAGAGUGAUCGAAAGAUGAAAAGCACUUUGGAAAGAGAGUCAAACAGCACGUGAAAUUGUUGAAAGGGAAGCGCUUGCAGCCAGACUUGCUUGCAGUUGCUCAUCCGGGCUUUUGCCCGGUGCACUCUUCUGUAGGCAGGCCAGCAUCAGUUUGGGCGGUAGGAUAAAGGUCUCUGUCACGUACCUCUCUUCGGGGAGGCCUUAUAGGGGAGGCGACAUACUACCAGCCUGAACUGAGGUCCGCGCAUCUGCUAGGAUGCUGGCGUAAUGGCUGUAAGCGGCCCGUCUUGAAACACGGACCAAGGAGUCUAACAUCUAUGCGAGUGUUUGGGUGUCAAGCCCGAGCGCGUAAUGAAAGUGAACGGAGGUAGGACCCCGCAAGGGUGCACUAUCGACCGAUCCUGAUGUCUUCGGAAGGAUUUGAGUAAGAGCAUGGCUGUUGGGACCCGAAAGAUGGUGAACUAUGCUUGAAUAGGGUGAAGCCAGAGGAAACUCUGGUGGAGGCUCGCAGCGGUUCUGACGUGCAAAUCGAUCGUCAAAUUUGGGCAUAGGGGCGAAAGACUAAUCGAACUAUCUAGUAGCUGGUUCCUGCCGAAG